rnacentral:rRNA from 1 species
UACGAACUGUGCGAACGUUAUUCGGAAUCACUGGGCUUACAGGGUGCGUAGGCGGCUUGUUAAGUAGGGUGUGAAAGCCCCCGGCUCAACCGGGGAAUUGCGCCCUAAACUGGCGAGCUAGAGUGAGAUAGGGGUGUGUGGAACUUCCGGUGGAGCGGUGAAAUGUGUUGAUAUCGGAAGGAACGCCGGUGGCGAAAGCGACACACUGGAUCUUGUCUGACGCUGAGGCACGAAAGCCAGGGGAGCGAACGGG